ensembl:lncRNA
CUCUCUACACAAAGUAUUUCUUAAAAUCAUAGAAUCAUAACGUUUGGAAAGAGCUCUAAGAUCACCCAGACCAACCACCAGCCCACCCUCACCAUGGCCCACUGACCACAUCCCUCAGUGCCACAUCUCCACAGUUCUUGAGCGCCUCCAGGGAUGGUGACUCCACCACCUCCCUGUGCAGCUAUGCCAGUGCAUCAACACUCUUUAUGACAAGAAAUUUUUCCUGAUAUCCAGUGGUUACUCCACUUUUUAUGGUCUUACUGUGCAUCCAAAUUUUCUGAUGUGUUGCCAGAAAGGAACUUCUCUGUUCCAUCUUACCCCUGAUUGACUGAGGAUUAGGAUGCCACACCAAGGUAUGCUUCAAGGUAUCCCAUGGGAAAGAAUUCUGCUGGCCUUUGCCUGAAAAAGCCAUCCCAAUGCUCCUACCCACCUUUGGGCAGCAGCUUUUAGCCCCAACAUAUCCAGCCUUGUGUUCGGUUCAAUGCGUGCUUCCCAGGGGAGUUAUCUAUUUAAACCAUCCAAGCAUUAUUUCUUAUAAUGGGAAUUCACAGUGAUAAUAGCAUAAUAAAUCCUUACCUUUUUUUUUUUCCUUUUUUCAGCACUGUUCAUCACACAAUAUUGUCAAGAUUCCUACCUCAGCCUUCCAAAGAGGAGUUGCACAGAACAGCAGCAGUGUGGCAGCUCUGGGGAAGCUGGAAUUAUCUUCCUAAUAGAUCUUGGAAGGGGUAUUUUCCUCUCUGUCUGGCUGAUAAAGGAGAACUAGGGGAGAUCUGGGGAAGAGAAGGAAGCGAUGUGGGAACAGGACGUUCUAAUACUUCAAACAGAAGCCUUUUGCAAAAAGGACGUCAAAUCAUUUUUGUUGAUCUAAGAAAAAAUAUUCAGGAUUGAAAGCCUCAUUAGAAAUGAAAAACUGAGACACAAAGUGUGCAAGCUCAUGACACAGACAAAUAGUUACAAAAUGGCUUUAUUAUCUGAAAGAACAUUGCACCAUCGGCAACAAAUAUGCUGUUUGUCUGUAUUUAUAUUCCAAACAGUGUUGUUACCUAUACAUCAUCGGUUCUACAUUUGUCUGCGUUCUCUUCUCCUCUUUUUCCUGAAAUAAAUCAUAUCCAUUAACGCAUAAUGGCAUCGGACAUGUUCCCAUGCACAGGCUAAAGUGUUCCUUUCAAAUCUGUCAAGAUACUCCAUUCCCUGCACAUUUUGACUUGCACUGCUGUGACAUCCUCUCAGCAUCGGUAUUCACUUCGAUGUAAAAUGUUUCAACAAAUGUUGUCUCUAUAGACAGAGCCAGCAGGUCUGUGAUGAAGAGAAGAAGAGUAGGGGCGACCCUGGGCACUGCGAGAGCUCACAGCAUCAGUACUGGAGCUGUAAGGAAAUCAAUAAUGACCUGACAGAGCUUUUAAGGAAUACAUUUGAUUACAAACAAACAAACUUCAGAACAGAAUCAUUAAGAUUGGAAAAGACCAUCACCCAGUCCAACCAUCAACCCACCUGCACCAUGCCCACUGACCACAUCCCUCAGUGCCACAUCCCCAUGGCUCCUGCACAGCUCCAGGGUUGGUGACCCCACCACCACCCUGGGCAGCCGGUGCCAAUGCACACUGCUAUUUCUAAGAAUAUUAAAUUUUUCCUAAUAUUUAACCUGAAGCUCCCCUGUUGCAACUUACAGGAGUUAAUUCUCAUCCUCACUAGUUACAUAGGAGAAGUUUCCACACUGUGAGCUCUGUGUCUAAGGGGAAAACUUGACCAGAAAGAUCUCCAAGAUCAAAUCUACAUGGUCUGGUCCUAUUGGAACCCAGGGGUGUGUGACGCCUUAAAGGCAGCUGGAUCUGAGGACUGUCUCUUCCUACUGAAUGCUGUUUCCCACAGCACAGAAUGCAGGUGCACUGCAGGGUGCUUGGAGUGACAUACUGACUCUGCAGAAGUGCUGGGAACUUGGACUUCAAUAGCACCAGAAUUUCACCCUUGUCCAGGAAAGUUUAGAAGGCAUUGAUUUUCCUGUUUUGCCUAUUUCUUUCAAAAAACAGAGCAAUUGCUCUCAUUUUCUCUCUACUUCUUCGGAAAUAUACAGGGGAAAAAAAAAUCAAUAACACUAAAAAUACUCUUAGAAAAACAUUGGUGGAAGAACAGGGGAAAGUUAAUCAAUUAAUGUUUUAGGGGGGAAAAAAGCACCUGCCCUAGGCAUUUAUGUACAGCUCAGCACAUGUUAAAAAGCUGCAAUUCACCAAUCCUUCCUCAGUCCAAAGUAAGAUCCAACCUGGGCAGGUGGUUCCCCCCCCCACCAAAAUGUUUUCCCCAUCUUCCCAGCAAAGCCAGUCCUCUCCUGACGCACCGGACCACCAAGAGCUGAGGACAGACAGCCUCAUUCACAGCUGGUUGUUAUCUCAGUCCUUCUGCUCUGCAGACAGAUUUCCAGCAGGAAGCAGACAGGGCAUGUGGAAAUGGGGGACAGCGAUGGCAAGGACAUACGCUGAUGCAGUGGGUGGGAUGGUGUAAUCUGGCCCAUCCAUCUCUCACCAGCGGCACGAACAUGGGCUCCUGCAAGGAAAAUAACAAGGGAAAAGGUAUUUCAAGCUCUCUUUUAAAAGAUGCUCCUAUUUUUAGAGCUUUGCAGCCCCCUCUCAUUGCUUUUUAUUCUUUCUCUAUUUCAGGCAGCUGUUUGAGGGAUUUCCUUCUCACCCACAAAUUCUUGUUGCCAGUGAAUGGCGCAAAAGCUCAACCAGUGGGGGACACACCUGGCCAGGGGUAUUACAGCGACCAGUGUCCACAGAGUGGCAUAUUCACAACUAUAAAUGAGGAAUAAGCAGUAAUGUCAUUGUGAUCCACAUACAGCCUCCUUACCAAAACAGCCUCCAAGGGUAAGGACAAUGGGAAUCACUCAAUGGGAGCAAAAAGCACUGAAACCCACCACGAACUAGCUGGAACACCUCCAUCCCACCCCAAUAUCACUAACGUUUGAGCUCACAUUGCUCUUUUGGGGCCAAACUGAGUUAGACCGCAAAAAUUUUGCCUGCAGAUGAAGAAGUGUCAACAGAACAGUGUCCUCUCCUAUGAUACCAUUCCUUUGUUACCUUUUUCUUAAUCAUUUUCACCCUCCUGAUCAGCAGAACUGAACUGGAGGAGGUAGAUUUUGUGAGCUUGUGCCUCAAGGUCAGCAGAGGUUUCUGAGAAAUGAAGAGUUCCGUCAGCACACGUAACAGCAAUCAGUAAUUACAGAAAUGUUUGUUUCUUAGAAUACCAGAAACACAUCCCUGCUUUCAGCGGGAUUCUGCUCCAGCCUGUCACACAGUAUUUCCCGUAAUAUACGGCCAUCUCUGCACUGGCUCUUCAGUUCACCUUGAUUCAUGAAUAACCAUUGCUCCCUCCCUACUGUAAAUACAAUUCCAAACAUAUGGGAGAGAAUUUGUAGUGAAUUAGGGCUGUACAUUAUCUCCAUGAUUAGCUGCAUUUGUUACCCGGCAGAUGUCUGAGUAGUAAAAAUCCCCCCCGAGUACAGUAUCCUGGAGUUCCCAGCUCCUUGAUAACCAGUUCAAGGAUUUCAUGUUCCCACUGUGCUCUGAUCUGGGCAGCCCUGAGCAGAUGCUUGCUUCCUGCCUCGCUCCUGCGGUGCUAAUCCUGCCCUUCCUGCACCACCACCCAGCAGAGCAUCGUGCUUCCUCUACUC